GACGAAAGCAUAGGUAGCAAACAGGAUUUGGUACCCUGGUAGUCUAUGCUAUAAACAAUGAAUAUUAAAUAUUAGAACUGAUUAAUCUAAUUUAAAUAAAUUAGUGAAGAAUUUUUUAAUUUUUCUAAUAUACAAAGUUAACACGUUAAAUAUUUCGCCUGGGGAGUAAAACCGCAAGGUUGAAACUCAAAGGAAUUGACGGGAGCUUAUACUUACGGUGGAGCAUGUGGUUUAAUCCGAUAGUCCGCGUGAAAUCUUACCAAUUUUUGACAAUUUAUAGUUUUUUCAUAUAAUACAGGUGUUGCAUGGCCGUCGUCAGCUUAUGUUUUGAAAUUUAUUAUAUAAGUACAACCCUUGUUUUAAUUUGCUAUAAUUUAAAAUUAUAAAUAAAAUGUUUAUAAAUUAAAUUAGCACUAUUAAAAUUAAAAAUAGAUGAAUAAUUUAUUUUAAAGGAUGAAGAUAGGUCGUUAUGACCCUUAUAAA
rnacentral:rRNA from 1 species